UACAGAGACUGCGAGCGUUAUUCGGAUUCACUGGGCGUAAAGGGUGCGCAGGCGGCCGUGUGUGUUGGGCGUGAAAGCCCGGAGCUUAACUCCGGAAUUGCACUCAAAACUACAUGGCUAGAGCAUUGGAGAGGGUAGCAGAAUUCACGGUGUAGCAGUGAAAUGCGUAGAUAUCGUGAGGAAUACCAGAGGCGAAGGCGGCUACCUGGACCUCGGCUGACGCUGAGGCGCGAAAGCGUGGGGAGCGAUCCGG
rnacentral:rRNA from 1 species